rnacentral:rRNA from 1 species
UCGAGAAUUUUUCACAAUGGGCGAAAGCCUGAUGGAGCGACGCCGCGUGGGGGAUGAAUGGCUUCGGCCCGUAAACCCCUGUCAUUUGCGAGCAAUGCUGACGGUUGAACAAACCGUCAGUUGAUAGUAGCGAAAGAGGAAGGAACGGCUAACUCUGUGCCAGCAGCCGCGGUAAUACAGAGGUUCCAAGCGUUGUUCGGAUUCACUGGGCGUAAAGGGUGCGUAGGCGGUCGGGUAAGUCUGAUGUGAAAUCUCCGGGCCCAACCCGGAAACUGCAUUGGAUACUAUUCGGCUUGAGGUUUGGAGGGGGGACUGGAAUUCUCGGUGUAGCAGUGAAAUGCGUAGAUAUCGAGAGGAACACCCGUGGCGAAGGCAAGUCCCUGGACAACACCUGACGCUGAGGCACGAAAGCUAGGGGAGCAAACAGG